ACAAGGUUUCACAUCAGGUACCGAUGGCAGGAAGCCAGGCUGAUACUGAGAUGGUGAGUGAGGGCAAACUUGUCCAACAACAUUCAAGGAGCUAGCCAUGCAACCUAUCAACAUUAAUACAAACAUAUUGGACACCUGCAUCUUUGUGACUUGCACUGCAAGCUUUUGAGUAAAGGAGGCUGCUGGUACUAAGUAGGAUGACUUCCUUCCCAGGUCCAUAUGUUACAGUAGUUCUGCCCGUGGCAACUCAACUAUUCUCAAGUUUUUGGAAACAAUCAAAUAUUGAAGCUGAAAUAAUGAAACUCCAAAAGGAAAGAGAAAAAAGCUUAGGUGCCAGUUUCUGUAACAACUACUGUACUUUAUGUUCGUGUCUUUGAACAGAUCUAUUCUAGCAUCAAUGGUUUUUAGCUACUCUCUCGAAGAAGAACCAAACUAAAAUGUCAUUUUUGGAAUAGUGAAUACUGCCAAGCAAACCCAGAGUCUGUUUUAUAAUUCCCUGAACAACUAACUGUGCAGGGAUACAGUGAUUUCAAGAACAUGGCCAGCAGAGAAAUCAUACUCAAGGGAAGAAUCAAUAUGUGAGACUCAGUCAGGGCUUUCCUCCUGUUCAUUAUCUGAUUUGACAGUCAACAUUCCUCCUAGAGGUCUCAUGUGAGGUCUCUGAACUGCUCAGAAAUUACCUGGUUCUAAUCAGCAUACGCACGCUUAGUGGGCAGGCAGCAAAGGACUCCCCACACCUCUGAAGACGAAUUUGGAACUUCUCUGUAACCAAGAUAACUCUUCACCACAAACAUUACACAAAAAUUACAUACUGGGUUGAUGGGGAGGGAGAGGCACGACAGAGUUAGAAUUUGUGUGUGAGAACUGGACUACAUGUGUGGUGUUCGCCUUCUGUCGAGUGAGCAACAUUGUUUGAAAACGUGAACUGAUACAGUGUAAACUGACCUUACUGUGAGAAUCUGCAAUGUCAGCAGCUGCUGUGUUUAUAAGUGAUAUACCUGCAGAAUCUCAUCCUGGAUCCAUAAAGGUAGAGUGAGCCUUUUAACACAUCAGUGACAAAACCUAGGCCACGAUGCCAAAUACAGGGCUUUCUCCAUUAUAGCAUGCUGCUUCUUAAGUUAUCCUGUUAAACUAAAUUAUGUGCCAUGAUUUUUUAAAGAAUGUUGUGAACAAAGAUUCAAUGGAAACCAAAUUAAGUCAAAUAAGACAGACUGAUAAUUGGAGGGGACUUUAACCCUCUUCAUGAAACCUCUUUCUACUCACAGUUAACAAAAACAAAAAUAGAAAAAAGCAUCCUUACUUUUUCUGAAGUUACCAUAUUUAAAAUACAAGAAUUAUUAAUAUCUGUUUUAAUUAAGUAGUAGGCAUUAAUAAACCUUUGUAGAUGAUGAUGAUUUUGUACUUAAAGUUUAAGACAAUAACCUGAAGAAAACAAAUUUUAAAUUUAAAUCAGAAAAUUGGGUUUGUAUGACAAGAUCUGUAGAGAGCUUUUAGGAAGAUAAAUUUGGUAUCAGUACGUAGGAUGGCACAAAGGCAGAUGUGUAAUUUAACUAUCAUUAUGAGAGGCAGUUGAUUCCAUACCUCUACCUAUGAAAAUGUAUGACAUUCUUUCUUUUCUGCAAAUAUAUUAACCAAGUUCAGAAAAGUGCAUCAUAGGAUGAAAAAUGAAGCAACCAGGGCUACUAAUUAUGAAAAAGUUAUUAACUACCUGAAUAUAGCAAAAACGGAUUGGAUACUUUAAGUCAAUUUUAAGGGAUGGCAAUGAAGAAAUAGUAGGCUGAGGAAUAACUGAGUAGAACAAGAAAGGUAGAGAAGUGGAGAGAGAAAGGGAAAUCCCAAUAUUCCACUAAUAAGAAAAUAGUCCUAGAAGAGGUCAAAUGUUGAAGGCAAUGGUUCUCAAAUUUUUUGGUAUCAGAACUCCUCUGCACCCUUAAAAAUUACUGAGGACCUCAAAGAGUUUUUAUUUAUGUGUUACAUCUAUUGGUAUUUACCAUAUCAGAAAUGAAAGCAUCUAAGCAUUAUCAAGAAAAUUGCUUUGAUCUUAGAGACCCCUUGAUAGGGUUGCAGGGGCCCCAGUGGUCCCUGGUCCAUGACUUGAGAACUGCUGGUUUAAACCAUGAAGGAGAAAAUACUAUCGUUGGAAAGUAAGUUCCUAAGAAAUAGUGUCAAAACUUCUUUGUUAACAUUUUCAUAAGUCUUUUGUUAGAGACUAUGUUAUUUUCAUUUUGAAAAUAUAUAAAAUACACCUACCCCUAAUCUUAUCACAAUUUUAGUUCCCUAGUUCCUUUCUUGAUUCUUUAUGCCAUUCCUGGGCCUAGACAAGUUUAGCAUUGUGCAGAGAAAGCUAUCCUAGGUUUGAAAUCAAACUCUCAGCAGGUUUCCUCAUCUGUAAAAUGAGGGAGUCAGGACUAAGUACCUACUAAGGCCUUUUCCAGCUUUUAAUCUAUGACCCCAUGAAGUAGACUGCUUCUUUCCUCUUAUUCAACACUCCUUCUUCUUUAAGAAAAAUUUUGUAAUCAAGGAAGAUAUGAUAAGAAUGAUAUUCUUCUCUAUAACUUAAGCAACAUAACUAAUAACGGCUCUUGAGUGCUUCUAUCUAUAUAAUAGUAAAAAUAGAAAAACUUCUCAAACACAAACACUAUUUAAAAAUUAAAGCCGGAUGGCUACUAUUGACUUUUAAAAAAAUUGAUGUGUAAUCACUGUGGGAGCUGAGCUAACUUUUAAAUGUCAUGUAUGGACCUGAGUAUUCAUACUUUUGACUUUUCAGCUAAAGGCUGACUCCUGUAUUUCCUCUAUAAAAUGAUCUAUAAGAGCAUUUUAAGGUCAAAUGACAUAGUUUAUUAAGUGCAAUUCA